UCCUAAGGAUGGAACAUGGGACCUGACA
rnacentral:piRNA from 1 species